UUUCUUGCCAUUUAGUUUAUUUUACCAUAGAUGUUAUGUGAGGAGUCUCCUACUGCUUGGCAAUGGAAAGAAGAAAAUUGUUAUCUCAAAUUUGAUUUAAAACAAAAGAUUUAGUCUACCGUAGACACUGGUUCUCGAGAGUAUUUUAAAUGCAUAUGAUCGUAUUUUCAAGUCUAGUGCAAUUGCUUAACGUUUUUCUUUAAGAGUCAUUCUAAACGACCGUAGAUUUUAAGAGAAACAUUCUUUUUUACUUGAAAGAUUAGAAUAUGAGUAAGCUGUCCUUUGUCGUUUAUUACUUUUAAUACAAAAUACACCUUCUUAAAUAGGAAAAAAAUUGGACAAUCUAACUCAAAAUAAUAGCGAAUCUAACACCGUCUAAACUUAUUUGUAAACUUCUAUUGGUACCUAACUUGUGUAGAACUUCUUGGUAGAGGAUUAGAUUGAAUGGAAACUAUGAUACUUCAUUAAUGAAGAGGUCAAAGCCUUUAUAGGCAAAUUACAACAAGGCUCUCAGCCAGCCAACUAACAAACUUAAAACAAAAUACUAACUACCCAACUUAGAAUAAGCCUACAUUACAUCAAUUUCACCCUCCUCAAAAGAAACUCGAUUGAGUUUAUACAAACAAGGUAUAAUCAUCUUGAGCAUAAUAAGGAAAAAUAUCUGGUCACGUUGAAUGUAGAGCUGAUGUUCAUGGAGGAUGGGAGGUCCACACAAUAGACAUUUUUCCCGAACUUUUCCAAUGUAGGGAAAGGUCCACACGAGUCUUCUUGAUAUGGAUUAUAGACCAUGACAAAAUCUCCAAGGGAAAAUUCUACUUGAGCCUUGUAUUUUGAGUUGGCAGCUGUCAAUUGGUUGAUGAUUUCAUCAUGGAUUUUUUUGAACAUGAUCCACCAUAAAACCAACAUUUGACUGAGAUGUUAGAAGUAGUGGGCUUAGCCCAUUGGGAGAUUUUCCCUAAAUGUUUUUUCCUUUUUUACCUUCUUGUAUUUUUCUAUUUAUUCCUCUAUUGUAUCAAUUGUAUUUUUUUCAGGAAAUAAUAAGAAGAAAAAUAUCGUGGUUUUUCUCUCGGUACUUGGGUUUCCACGUAAAUGUUUGUGUUUUUGUCUCUACUUUUAAUAUGGUAUUGAGCGGAACAUUGAACACACCCUAAACAACAUAACUAUGAUGGAAAUCAAACAAAAGAGACAACCGCAGGUUUUAGCGCCACCGUCAAUGCUCAAAUCCAUGUUGCCAUGUUCGAAUGGUGAAGUCGCCUUCAGAAAACGCCGGAAAACAUAACUACACAGAUUUUCUUGUCGUUCGCACCGCUAGAAACCACCUAUGCACUGCUACACGCUGCUGUUGGAAGUCCAGACGCCACUGCAGGAGCUACACGUGCCAGCCCAUCCUAUUCAAAUGCCGUCGGCCGACCUAACCGUGUCCCCACGUGCCGAUUCAUGUGUUGCUGCUACCUAAUUCUAGCCGGCCACCACCGCUUUUUGAGUCAAAUCUGAAUAGCUUAACAGCAACUGAAAGGGCUUCAACAACAUAUUGCGGGAAUUGAGGCUACUCUAGGGACGACAUCCAACACUUCUGUACCGAUUUAUUCUGAGAAUUCGGUAACCUCAUUUCCAACUUUAUCCUUAUCCUAUGUGAAUGAGAAUGCUAGUCCAACCACGCUUGAAGCUAUUGUCUAGUGAGGUGUACCUCAGUCCUUUAGUCUCAUUACUAUUAAUGGUAAGAAUCCUUGGAUCCUGGACUCUGGUGCCACAGAUCAUUUAACCGAUUCCUCUUAACACUUUGUGCUUUACAUUUCGUGUGUUGGGAAUGAGAAGAUAAGAAUUGUUGAUGGCUCCUUUUCUCCCAUUGUCGGAAAAUGGUAGAUUUCUCUUUUUAACGAGUUCUCAUUACACAAUGUGUUGCAUGUGCCACAAAUUUCAUAUAAUCUUCUGUUGAUUAGCAAGAUUACUUGUGAAUUAAACUGCAAAAAGCAACAUUUUUACAUGAUUCUGUUUCUUUUUAGGACUCGAGCUCAAGGAAGAUGAUCGACACUGCCUGGUACAAUAGGGGUCUUUACUUGUUUCAUGAUGAUGCCUCUUCUUGUAGCAUUUCUAGGAUGAGUUUUUUAUCUUCCUAUUUUACUACUUCUGAAAAAGAUCUUAUGUUGUGGCGUUUUCGUUUAAGCCACCGCAACUUUAAAUAUAUGAAAUACCUAUUUCCUUAUCUCUUUUCUAAAGUUGAUGUUUCUUCCUUAUCUUGUGAUGUGUGCAUACAAGCUAAACAACACCGAGUCUCGUUCCCUCGCAACCCUAUAAGCCAAUCAGACCUUUUACUCUUGUCCACAAUGAUGUUUGGGCACCAUCCAAGGUCCACUACCUCCUCUGGGAAACAUGGUUUUUCACCUUUAUUGAUGACUAUACUCGUCUUACUUGGGUUUUCCUAAUCUCUGACAAAUCUGAAGUUACCUCCGUAUUCCGGGACUUCUAUCACACCAUAGAAAUGCAAUUCAAUACAAAGGUUGCAAUCCUGUGGAGUAAUAAUGGUCGUGAGUUUCAAAACCAUUCUCUUAACGAGUUCUUAUUCUCUAAAGGAAUUGUUCACCAAAGUUCCUAUGCUUAUAACCCUCUAACAAAAUGGGGUUGCCAAACGAAAAAAUCGUCACCUUUUGGAAGUUGCUCGUUUCCUUACGUUAUCCACUUCUCUUCCUUCCUAGGAAAGAGAAGUUGCUCACUACCGCUCAUCUCAUCAAUCGCAUGCCCUUUUGUGUCCUUCACCUCUACACACCCUUAGAUUGCCUCAAAGAAUCCUAUCCUUCCACCAGUCUCAUUCCUGAUGUUUCUCUUCGGGUGCUUGGAUGCACAGUCUAUGUCCAUAGCCAUGGUCCUAGCAAAACUAAAUUCACUCCUAGGGCUUAGGCUUGCAUGUUUGUUGGGUAUCCCCUGCACCAACGAGCUUUUAAAUGUUUCCACCCAUCUUUUGGAAGUUGCUUGUUUCCUUACGUUAUCCACUUCUCUUCCUUCCUAGGAAAGAGAAGUUGCUCACUACCGCUCAUCUCAUCAAUCGCAUGCCCUUUUGUGUCCUUCACGUCUACACACCCUUAGAUUGCCUUAAAGAAUCCUAUCCUUCCACCAAUCUCAUCCCUGAUGUUUCUCUUCGGGUGCUUGGAUGCACAGCCUAUGUCCAUUGCCAUGGUCCUAGCAAAACUAAAUUCACUCCUAGGGAUUAGGCUUGCAUGUUUGUUGGGUAUCCCCUGCACCAACGAGCUUUUAAAUGUUUCCACCCAUCUUCACGUAAGUACUUUGUUGCUAUGGAUGUCACCUUUGUUGAAGAUCGUCCUUUCUUUCCCGUUAGCCUACUUCAGGGGGAGGAUAUGAAUGAAGAGUCUAACUAUAUGCUACCCUUAGAGUCUACUUGUCCUACUAUGGUUACCUUACUUGACCCUAGCCCUCACAAUACAAUCCUACUUACAAAUCAAGUUUCUUGGAAAACCUACUAGAAUCUUAGAAAGGGAGCUGAGUCUCCUAUUGUUCAGAUGACACCAGUCCAGGAUUUUGAACCAAUAAGAGAUCAAUGUAUGACUGAUUCCAUAAACUCACUUAGUAAUAACAGAAUGAGUGAGAAUGACAGGUAGAGACGAAUUCAACUGACUCACAUACUGAUAGAGAGGCAGGUAAGAAUGACGGGUCCAAGAUAGCUGUUUUGGAAGAUAUGGAUGAGCAGAGCAGUAUUGAUGGGGUCAUUAUAGACAGACUAGACAAGAUUGAUGAGAACGAUGUUGUUGUUGAACAUACUGAAAUCGAAACUAAGUCAAAACCAUUCUGGAAAUACUAGUAAGCUCUUGAUCUUUCUAUUGCACUGAGGAAAGGUACUAGGUCCUGUACAAGGCACUUCAUAUUCAAUUAUGUGUCAUACGAGAAUCUCUCACCAUAGUUCAGAGCUUUACUCCCAGCCUUGACUCUACCAUAAUACCUAAGAGUAUCCACCUUGCCUUAAGAGUGUUCAAAGUGAAAAGUUGUUGUCAUGAAAGAAAUGAGAGCCCUAGAAAAGAACAAGACCUGGGAUCUCUGCACACUCCCUAAGGGACACAAGACUGUUGGAUGCAAAUGGGUGUUUACACGCAAGAAUAGAACAGAUGGACAAAUAUAAGGCCAGACUAGUUGCAAAAGGGUUCAUUUUGACCUAUGGGAUUGACUAUUCUGAGACUUUUUCUCCUAUUGCAAAUUUGAACACCAUUAGAGUUUUGUUAUCUAUUGUAGUGAAUAAAGAUUGGUCCCUACAUCAACUUGAUGUUAAGAAUACAUUUUUGAGUGGGAAUCUUAAAGACGAAGUAUAUAUGAGUCUGCCUCCAGAAUUUGAAGCUCAAUUUAAUAAUCAGGUUUGCAAGCUUCUGGAAGUCUUUAUACGGUUUGAAACAAUCACCAAGAAGAGCGUGGUUUGACAGUUUUUCCACUUUCAUCAAGUCUCAAGGUUAUAAUCAGAGGCACUCUGAUCACACCUUGUUCACUAAAGUCUCCAAGCAAGGAAAAUUGCAGUAUUGAUUGUCUAUGUCGGUGACAUUGUGCUAUCUGGGGAUGAUAUUGAUGAGAUCGUUCAACAAAAGAAGAAGAUGGGGUUUGAGUUCGAAAUUAAGGACCUGGGAAAUCUGACGUACUUUCUUGGGAAGGAGAUUGUUAGAUCCAAAGAAGGCAUCUCAGUGUCUCAAAGAAAGUACACUCUUGAUUUAUUAGUUGAGACAGGUGUGCUAGGAUGUCGUUCUUCUGACACACCCAUUGAGUUCAAUGCCAAACUCGGAAAUUCAUGUGACAGGGUUUCUAUUGAUAAAGAAAAAUAUCAACGCCUGGUGGGAAAGUUGAUUUACUUAUCUCACACUAGGCUUGACAUCUCCCAUGCUGUGAGCACCGUUAGUUAGUUCAUCAGGCACCUUCUGAGGAUCACAUGGAAGCAGUUAACAGGAUUCAGAGGUAUUUAAAAGCAACUCCUCGUAAAGGUCUGAGAUUUAGGAAGACCGACAGAGAAGAUGUGUCGAAGCUUAUACUGAUUCUGACUGGGCAGGAUCUAUUGUUGAUAGAAAGUCUACCUCAGGAUACUAUACUUUUGUGUGGAGCAAUCUUGUAACUUGAAGGAGUAAGAAAGAAAGUGUUGUGGCCAGGAGCAGCAUUGAGGCCAACUACCAAGUUAUGAGUUUGGGAAUAUGUGAGGAAAUUUGACUCUAGGAAGUCCUAUCUGAUCUUCAUCAAGAGUGUGAGACACCAAUGAAGCUUUUUUAUGAUAAUAAAUCCGCUAUUAGUUUUGCUAACAGCCUAGUUCAACAUGAUAAAACUAAACAUGUUGAGAUUGAUUGGCAUUUCAUCAAAGAAAGACUUGAUAGUAGGAGCAUAUGCAUUUUGUACAUCCCUUCGAGCCAACAAGUUUCUGAUGUCCUCACCAAAGAGCUUCUCUGACCAAACUUCGACUUUUGUGUUAGCAAGUUGGACCUCAUUGGUAUUUACGUCCCAACUUGAGGGAAAGUAUUAGAAUUAGUAGGCUUAGCCCAUUGGGAGAUUUGUCCUAAAUAUUUUUUGCUUUUUUAUAUCUUUGUAUUUUUCUAUUAUUCCCCUCUUGCACUUAUUGUAUUUUUAUCAUAAAAUAAGAAGAAAAAUAUCGUGGUUUUUCUUCCGGUAUUCAGAUUUUCACGUAAAUUUAUGUGUUCUUUUUUUCUAUUUUCAAAUCAACGACAAAAGGGGGAUUAGUAAGGUUGAAGUUUAAACAUGGAGGAUGAUAAUAAACUACCUCAAAUGGACAUUUCCUUGUUGAUAUGUUAUGCAUGUUGUAUGCGAAUUUUGCUUGAGGUUAAGCAAGGUCCCAUUUUUUGUGUUGGUCUUUGCUAAGGCAUCUAAGAAGGCUUCCCAAGGUUGCAUUUGACACUUCCGUUUGAUCAUUCGCUUGAGGAUGACUUGUUGAGCUAAACUUGAGUUUAGUAUCGAAUUUUUUUCAUAAACUUUUCUUGAAAAGAACUCAAACUUGAUAUCUCUAUGUUAAACAAAUACUCUUAUGAAUACCACGUAGAAUUACAAUCUGUUUGAAAAAAAAAAAAGAGCAAUAAAACCCUAAACCUUAAAAAAAUGAGCAAUACUCUAUUAGGUGCGUAGACAAGAGUAUUAUUAUAUUAGUGCUAAAGGGUACAAUCCAUGGAUCCAUGGUCACCCAAAUGUUGUAGGGUCAGGUGGGUUAUCUCGUGAGACUAGUUGAGGUGUGUGUAAGCUGGUUCGAAUGCUGUAGAUAUUUAAAAAAAAAAGUAUUAAGGGGUAUAAUUGGGAUCAGAUGGAAAGUUCGUUACUAGAUGUUGUAUACAUAGUAAAAGGGUGCGUGAGUGAAGGUUGGAUUAUUUUGUAAAGUGAACUAGGUCCUGGACGAGAGCAUUCAAGAGGGAGGUUCCAAGUUCCUUUAUUUUGAGUUAUCUUGUAGUUUCUUCUUUAAUUCUCAAUAUAUUUUAGUUCUUGAUUCUUGUUAGGAAGUGUUCUAACAUACUCAUGUUCUCAAUUCAAGCUCUUUGUAGAUUAGUCUAUUCAGGAUAUGUGUUUAAUUAGAAUAUUUUUGUUCAAUCUAUAUAAUGAACUUUUAGAUACUUAUGUUUUUAUUUUUUUAAUGGAAACGAGCUUCUUUAUUAAUAAAACAAAAGAGACUAAAGCUCAAGGUACAAGAGAAUUAUACUAAGAGCAAAAAGGACAAAAAAAGAAAUAGCCUAUGUUCGAGUCAAGAAGGAGCACUAUUACGAUGACACCCCUCAAACGAACACAACCAAUGAUCCACGAGCUAUACCAAACCCUCUAAAACCCAAGCAACAAAGGUGUUGCGAGACCAAAAUCCUCACAAUUCCGAUUUUUUGAAGGUAAAAGAUUCCUAUGCCAAGCUUCUUCAUCUUCAAUUAGGCUAGACAUUCAGAAUGCAAAAAAGAGUACCUUAAUGAUAGAAUUGAUUUUAGAUCAAAAUCCUGAUUCUUUGGAGGUAUAUUGAACACAUACGCAAGUUUCUUCUCUUUCAACUGGAUUCAGCCUCUCAGUUUAAAUAUUCUGUUUUUUCCUUACUUUCCUCAAAAGCUACCCUUGGCAAACUUCGGGCCUUCCUUCCAAAAAGAAAUGCGAUACAACUUUUGACUCUCCUUUUAGUGUGAGUAGGGAGGAAGUUGAUCAUUUGAUGAAGUUAAAUGGGCUGGAGGAUCAUUCUUUGGAGGACCUUUCAGAAAGUGAUCUUAGCGAUUUGUUUCAAAAUGAAGAGGAAUUGAAUGUUGAAAAAUAAACCCCUAGAAGUCGCUCUCAAUCUUAGCGUUAACGAUAUUCCAACCCACUUCUUUUAAACGGAAACAAGUCUCUAUGAAUAUUAAUAAGAAAGACUAAAACUCAAAAUAUAAGAGAAAUAUACCAAGAGCAAAAUAAAAAUAAAUAAAUAAAAAAUAAAAGAAACCGAUACAACAUAAACCGAGAUAAGAGAGAACAUAAUAAAAUUACAACGAGCUACACAAGAUCCUCUAGAACGAAAGCAAAAUAAGAA